UUGAGUGGCGGACGGGUGAGUAACGCGUGGGUAACCUGCCCUGUACAGGGGGAUAACAGUCAGAAAUGACUGCUAAUACCGCAUAAGACCACAGCACCGCAUGGUGCAGGGGUAAAAACUCCGGUGGUACAGGAUGGACCCGCGUCUGAUUAGCUGGUUGGUGAGGUAACGGCCCACCAAGGCGACGAUCAGUAGCCGGCCUGAGAGGGUGAACGGCCACAUUGGGACUGAGACACGGCCCAAACUCCUACGGGAGGCAGCAUG
rnacentral:rRNA from 1 species